rnacentral:rRNA from 1 species
AUUGAACGCUGGCGGCAUGCUUUACACAUGCAAGUCGAACGGUAACAGGCCGCAAGGUGCUGACGAGUGGCGAACGGGUGAGUAAUGCAUCGGAACGUGCCCAGUCGUGGGGGAUAACUACUCGCAAGAGUAGCUAAUACCGCAUACGAUCUAUGGAUGAAAGCGGGGGACCGUAAGGCCUCGCGCGAUUGGAGCGGCCGAUGUCAGAUUAGGUAGUUGGUGGGGGAAAGGCUCACCAAGCCAACGAUCUGUAGCUGGUCUGAGAGGACGACCAGCCACACUGGGACUGAGACACGGCCCAGACUCCUACGGGAGGCAGCAGUGGGGAAUUUUGGACAAUGGGCGCAAGCCUGAUCCAGCAAUGCCGCGUGCAGGAAGAAGGCCUUCGGGUUGUAAACUGCUUUUGUACGGAACGAAACGGCUCUGGUUAAUACCCGGGGCUAAUGACGGUACCGUAAGAAUAAGCACCGGCUAACUACGUG